UACGGAGGGUGCAAGCGUUAUCCGGAUUUACUGGGUUUAAAGGGUGCGUAGGUGGGUCUGUAAGUCAGUGGUGAAAUCUUCGAGCUUAACUCGGAAACUGCCAUUGAUACUAUAGGUCUUGAAUCAUCUGGAGGUGAGCGGAAUAUGUCAUGUAGCGGUGAAAUGCUUAGAUAUGACAUAGAACACCGAUUGCGAAGGCAGCUCACUACGGAUGUAUUGACACUGAGGCACGAAAAGCGUGGGGAUCAAACAGG
rnacentral:rRNA from 1 species